GCGCACCAGGCGAGAAUUUUUCACAAUGGGGGAAACCCUGAUGGAGCGACGCCGCGUGGAGGAUGAAGGCGUUUUCGUCGUAAACUCCUGUCAUGCGAGAACAAGAAAGUGAUAGUAUCGCAAGAGGAAGAGGCGGCUAACUCUGUGCCAGCAGCCGCGGUAAUACAGAGGCCUCAAGCGUUGUUCGGAUUCAUUGGGCGUAAAGGGUGCGUAGGUGGCAUGGUAAGUUGAAGGUGAAAUCUCGGAGCUCAACUCCGAAACUGCCUUCAAUACUGCUGUGCUCGAGGACUGUAGAGGAGAAUGGAAUUCACGGUGUAGCAGUGAAAUGCGUAGAUAUCGUGAGGAAGACCAGUGGCGAAGGCGAUUCUCUGGGCAGUUCCUGACACUGAGGCACGAAGGCUAGGGGAGCAAACGGGAUUA
rnacentral:rRNA from 1 species